rnacentral:rRNA from 1 species
AGCAGCCGCGGUAAUUCCAGCUCCAAUAGCGUAUAUUAAAGUUGUUGCAGUUAAAAAGCUCGUAGUUGAAUUUCGGGAUUAGUACGCUGGUCGUGCCUUCGGUACGUACUGGUGUUACUGGUUCCUACCUUCUGAAGAACCGUCAUGUCAUUAAUUUGGUGUGGCGGGGAAUCAGGACUGUUACUUUGAAAAAAUUGAGUGUUUAAAGCAGGCUCGCGCUUGAAUACAUUAGCAUGGAAUAAUGAAAUAGGACGUUCGAUCCUAUUUUGUUGGUUUCUAGGAUUGACGUAAUGAUUAAUAGGGAUAGUUGGGGCAUUAGUAUUCAAUUGUCAGAGGUGAAAUUCUUAGGAUUUAUUGAAGACUAACUACUGCGAAAGCAUUUGCCAAGGAUGUUUACAUUAAUCAAGAACG